CGCUCCCUGCGGUGUUCGAGUAGUGGGCUGGGUAACCCCUUGAUCCUAAUUAAUCUGACCCAGGGUGAGCGGUUGUCGGCGUAAGUGUGCAAGUCCGCCGCGUCGCGGAAAGCCUGAUACGCCGCGCUGUUCCCCCACUUGAACCUUGCGGUUCAAGGGUAACAGCUCAAAACGACACAGGCGGAGAGCGC
rnacentral:other from 1 species